AGGCAACUUGUCUGGAGCGACGAGCCGAGCUCGAGCCGAGGCACCGGCGGUCGGGACGGACGGGACGGACGGGAGGAGCCGUGAUGUGUGGUGGUGCAGCCGCAGCCGGACCCGGGCCUCUCCUCCGCUGACAUGCAGGCUGAGCUAUGAGCAGAGUUUCCUAGGAGACAAAACAAGCAUGUUCUGAAUAAACGGGAGUCGGGUCACGUCCCAGCCAUGAGCCACAGGUAUCCUGGAGAGGCUACGGGGGAAACGGGCGAGGAGCACAAGGCACCGCCGAGGAACAGGCAGCCCAACGGGACGUCGCGCGGGGAACCUCCUGUUCGCCGGUCCUGGAGACCGUGUCAGAUGCUCAACCAGGACGGGGAACCGAAUCCCCAUCAUCAUCACCACCAUGAUCACCACCUUCCUCACCACCGCCAACAUCCCCCGGAAACAGGUCGCGGACCCCCUCGCCACCGCCGGCGCCCCGCAUCAGGGCAGGACCAAAGCCAGGCUCAGAGUCCCGGUCUGAUCCCAGCGGUGGCCUCUUCCAGGCCAGAUGGGGGCGAGAAUCAGGACACGGAUCCUCCGCCUGUCCAGCAACCACGCCCUGCUGUAGCCCGCUACCGUCGUCAGGGCGACCCUAACCCCAGACUCAGAGGUCACAGACAGAGGCAGCCAAUCGGAGAGACGCAGGACUCGACACAUGGUGCAGAGGAGAGGGAAGGUCGGGCAGAGGUUCAGGUGAAGGUGCAGAAACAUCUGGCUGAGGAUCCUGUGAUGGACCAGUCACAGGACAGAGAAUCUCCCCACCAGACUCCUGUUGCUACUGUCACCCCUACCCACCUCUCACCUGCUCCUGCAACCCACAACGUGCAACCUGACCCCCAACACACUCCACCUGCAGAGGCAGAAGAAAACCUCCAGGACCAUAAGGUACCUGUAGUGUGUGGGGAGGAGCAGGAGGAAGUUCAAGAGAAAAAUCAAAAACAGGAACAGGCCGAGGAUGAUGGCGACUGCCGCUCAACAACGGGAAACUCCGGCCGCAGCCGCGGAGACGUGCAGACGGUUGACGGCGCAGCAGAGGAAUGUGCAGCAGAGAGGGUGGAGGAGGAUCAGGAGGAAGUGAUGGAUGAUGUAGUGGAGGACAUGGCCGCUCAGGGAAGUGAAUUCACCGAUCUCUGCUCCGACACUGAGAGCGCCGCUUCGCUCAGUAUGGACGGACCUCUCCACAGCCCGCCGCCGCUCCACUCGCCGACUCCUCCCUCCUCCCCCGACAUCCCGCCGUUCCCCCAACUGGACCACUUCAGUGAGGACGCCAGCUUGAGCCCCGUUCCUGACCAUGACCAUGACCUGCCAGAAGAUGAGGAUGAGGAUUGCUCCGAGUCGUGCUCACUGUCCCACUCCACUUCCUGCUCCGAGUCUUAUCCAAAAACCUAUGCAGACUUCUAUUCAGAGUCCCACCAAAAGUCUUACCCGGAGCCCGCGUACGAGUCCUACUCGGAGGGAAAGUCCUACCCCAACUCUUUCCCUGAACCCCUGCAGACCUCCUACCCCGAGUUGCACAGAGAACCUUGCAGGCGUCUUAGUCGGAGGGCUGAGCGUACUGAGGCCCAGCAGGAGUCCUUCACCAGCCACAGAGAGGAGAGUGUACAAAAGGUUUCUCCAUCCUCCCCCACCAAGGGCUCCCAUCAUGCACCGAGGCAGGUCAGAGGCCGCGGUUCGCGCCACUCCUCUCUGGACCGCUCCGUCGGCUGCCGCCUGCAUCACUACGACGGACAGUCAGACGGCGAGGUCGACGGGGGCCGUCAGAAAAGCCCCAUUUCCAAAAGCCACAGGCACCCAGGACCCAGACGAGGAGAGACCCAGGACCGGAGCCCCGUCUCGUCCGGACACAGCAGCUCGGGGGAAGCCCCGGAGCAGAGGAGCGCGGCGGGUCUCCCAGACGAGGGAGAUUCGAGGGGCUCGGGAGACGCCAUCACGCUGGCUAUUAAAGACAUCAAGGAGGCAAUCGAAGAGGUGAAGACGAAGACCAUGCGCUCGCCGUACACGCCCGACCAGUCGGUGGAGCCGAUAUGGGUGAUGAGGCAGGAGGUCAGCCCAACAGAGGAGGUGGUGUUCCCACCACACACUACAGCUGGACACUCGCCCUCUCAGUCAGAAUCCGAGUCUCCGUCCUGCUACGCCUCAGCUCCGGUCAGAGAGACGGUCAGUCCGCGGAGAUCCGAGUCCUCCAGAGCACUUCAUCCCCAACACUAUCACCAACAACAGCCCCAACACCACCACCACCAAGGCCACCACCACCUAGCCCCAGGCCACCAGUCACAGCAGAGGGACACCGCGAGGCCUCCACCACAGACAUACGCACCGCCGCCGUCACACGCUCACACGGCACCAAGUCAACAUCAACACCGUCAGCAGCAGCAGCAGCGACAGAUUCAGCAUCAACAACAUCAACAGCAGCCGAGGCCUCAAGCUCAGCCACAGUCGCCUCCGCAGCAGCAGCAGCCGACUGUCGAGGAGAUCCGCAGAUCUCUUGCCCCCUUCCCCACAUUUGUGGACGUCCUGGGCCCGUGCGACCCCGAAGACCUCAUCGACGGCAUCAUCUUCGCCGCGACGUACCUGGGCUGCACCCACCUGCUGUCAGAGAGGACGCCCACGAAGAGCGCCCGCAUGCAGCAGGCGCAGGAGGCCAUGAACCGAGUGCGGGCGGCACAGAAACAGGCGAAGAACAGGAAGAAGAGUCCCGACGGCGAGGCUCCUUCCACGGCUGAGGUCGACCUCUUCAUGUCCACACAGAGGAUCAAAGUCCUCAAUGCAGACACUCAGGAGUCUCUGAUGGACCUUCCGUUGAGGACCAUCUCCUACAUCGCAGACAUCGGCAACAUGGUGGUGCUGAUGGCCCGGGGCAAGAUGGUCCGGUCCCGCAGCGCCCAGGAGAACCUGGACCACGCCGCCGAGCAGACCAACCUGACCCAGGACGACCGGCGGCUCUACAGGAUGAUCUGCCACGUCUUUGAGUCCGAGGACGCUCAGCUGAUCGCCCAGUCCAUCGGCCAGUCGUUCAGCGUCGCCUACCAGGAGUUCCUACGGGCAAACGGCAUCGACCCCGAGGACCUGAGCCAGCGGGAGUACAGCGACCUGCUCAACACUCAGGACAUGUACAACGACGACCUCAUCCACUUCUCCAAGUCGGAGAACUGCAGAGACGUUUACAUCGAGAAGCAGAAAGGAGAGAUCCUGGGCGUGGUGAUCGUGGAGUCGGGCUGGGGCUCCAUCCUCCCCACUGUCAUCAUCGCCAGCAUGAUGCACGCCGGCCCCGCGGAGAAGUCGGGCCGACUCAACAUCGGGGACCAGAUCAUGACCAUCAACGGGACGAGUCUGGUGGGCCUCCCGCUCAGCACCUGCCAGAGCAUCAUCAAGGGUCUCAAGUCUCAGUCCAGGAUCAAGAUGAACAUUGUCCGGUGUCCUCCCGUAACCAUGGUGCUCAUCCGCCGGCCGGACCUCCGGUACCAGCUGGGCUUCAGCGUCCAGAACGGCAUCAUCUGCAGCCUGAUGCGUGGGGGCAUCGCCGAGAGAGGAGGCGUCCGCGUUGGUCACCGCAUCAUCGAGAUCAACAGUCAGAGCGUCGUGGCGACGCCUCACGAGAAGAUCGUCCAGAUCCUGUCCAACGCCAUGGGGGAGAUCCAUAUGAAGACGAUGCCUGCAGCCAUGUACCGUUUGCUGACGGCACAGGAACAACCCGUCUACAUCUGACAACACACACACACACACACACACACACACUGUUCUCACCUCAUCACGUCGUCUCUGCGAGUUCACACCUCUCAUCUCUGCGUCACGUUUCCAUUCGACUCGAUUUGCCUUAAUCUGUACAGUGCACCGUCAUGUGAGCGUGUUCCAUCCACGGCGCGACAGCAGAAGGCAUGUUAUCUCACAGAUUAUCUCACUAGGCCCCCAAGUGUUUUAAUGUGACGUCUUAUGUUUGACCAAAGAGAAAUUGUGGAUUUUUUUUAACACGUGACAGUAGGUGGCAGACGAGAGUAAAAUAAAUAUUGACCUUUUUUUUUUUUUUGGUUGAAUUAGCUGUAAUAUCUGAAUGUAACUGGAAUCACGUUGGACCUAUCAGUUGCCAGGGCGACACGAAGCAAUUGAAAGAGGAACUUCCUAAGCUGAGGAUUAAAGUUCCUCUUUGAGUGCGACAAAGGAAAUUACUGCAUGCAGGAAGGACUUGUUGGCGGGGUCGUCCUCCUCCCUCCUGGGGCCCUGCUCCUCCGCGGGCGGGUUCAGGCGGCCCACGACGGGCUUCAGGGCCACGGGCGGGGGCAGCGGCCUGUUCCCGCCCACCGCGUCGCUGCUG